CAGUUUUAGCUGCUUAAGUCUGAUUCUGUGUGGGGAAAAUUCCUGCUCAGGUCAAACUGUGCCCAGCAGGCUGAGAAACGCUUCCUCAGACCUUGCUGAUGACAGCGCAAGGACACAGCGAGCCCACUGCUGCUGGCUGAGGUCGUGGCUGCAGUUUGUGCCUCAAAACCUCAACCAGUGGUGAAACAGCAUUGGGGGGGGGUCACUGGCUAACCCCCAGUUUGGGGGGGGACCAAAGGGGCUCAGCGUGGGUUGUGGGGCGUUGCCUGGUGCUGUAAGAGCUCCCUGAGCAACCUGAAACUGCUUGGGAUGUUCCCUGGCUGAAGAAGAGCUGUGAGCGUGUUUCUGGAGCUAAAUGCUUUGCUUGAGGAAGUGAGAAAAAGGAGGUUGGAUGUUUUGUGGUGUUUAGGCCAACACCUUGUGGCCUAAAAGUAGGUUUUAAGACAUUUCUGCUGGGAAGUGACAGCAUUCAGUUCCCCUGAUGGUGCUGGAGCUGUUGGUGAGGCCGUGGGGAGAGCUGCAGGCACCUGCUGAGAAACAAGCACUAAAAUCCAAGCGUUCUCCCUCAAUCUGUCUUUUAACAGGCUGAUUUAUGAAGACUUUUUCCUAGGCAGGACACGGCCCGGCUGGAAGGCGGAGGCGAGGCUCCGGGUGUUGACAUUUCCCUUUCUGGGUGCCCUGCUGGCAGGGCAGGCCCUGAGCACACACAGGCUGCGUUUCUGAGGUGGGUGCUCCCAGAUUUUGGGUUUUCCUCCUCCAUCACGGGGUUGCUGUAAGGGAAAGCCAAGUGGGAAGCGGUCGGCGUGCCCCCCAGGAGCCUGCGAGCAGGCGUGGUGCUGCGAAGCCAGGAGGAGGCCGAGGAGAGAGGGAAGUCCACGGGGAGCCCAAGGGGAGGAGGAAUUCAGCAGGAGCAGUGCUGGAGGUGCCGCAAACAAAAACUCUGGAAUGCAGCAGGGCUGCCCCAGCUGCAGCCACAAGGAGCUUCCUGGACAGGUACUGCCAAGGUGGGGGUAUAGCUCAGGGGUAGAGCAUUUGACUGCAGAUCAAGAGGUCCCCGGUUCAAAUCCGGGUGCCCCCUCCCCUUUUUCUCCUCUUUUUGACCCCAAAAGGUCCAUUUGGGGCUUUUCAGUUGCCAGCUUUCCCCUGAGCUCCCUGCAGGGAACGUCCUCUGGCAGAUGCCACCAAGAUUGCUGAGAGGAGAGGACCGGCACCACGGAUGCUGGCUGGUCUCUGAACUUGCGUAUUCAAGACACCCAGCACUCACCUGAAGAUGCGUGGCCCAAGUCCCUCUCCUUGGUGGUGACUACCCAAAGCUGGUGGCUGCUGAACCCUGGGAGUUGUUGUUCUGAUCAAGGAGGAAACUUUUGGCAGCUCAGGGCUGUGGCCCGGCCCGGCUGGAAGGCGGCGGCGAGGCUCCGGGUGUCGGCGGUUCCCUGCCCUGCAGCCUCUGGACAGGCAGCGAGGAAGGCAGCGAGGCCGCGGGCAGCACCGGAGCUGCUCCCUGCCAGGUUUGGGUGAGGCCCUGAGCACACAGGGGCACGGCCGAGCAGCUUCGGAGGCCUCCUGAGGGAACGUCCUCUGGCAGACGUGGAGGUAGCCAGGCAGCAAGAAGAAGAUUGCCAAGAGAAAGAGGAGCAGCAACGUGAAGGCUGUGAGCAGGGAGGUAUUUCCUUCAGUGUUUUCUGUGCUGGGAGUAAUUUGUUGGUGUGCUGGAAUUGUUUGGAAUGAGCGGAAAACUUCCAGCUGUGGAGGAGGCUGACACAGGGGGUAUAGCUCAGUGGUAGAGCAUUUGACUGCAGAUCAAGAGGUCCCUGGUUCAACUCCAGGUGCCCCCUCUUUUUAUUGUGCUUUUUCAGCCUGCUUUUGGCCCAGGAAAGCUCAGGGCUUCUGCUCUGAGUAGCUCUGUGCUGUUUUUGUCUAAGUUUGCAAUUUUCUGUAGUAACUCUUUGCAGCAAUUAUGUCCAUUGCCCUGUCCAGGCUGCUGCCAGGUUAAUUAAUCUUAACCCGUGGUCAGACACGGGGUGUGUGCAAGUGCUUUUAAACCCACCUCAUGGAAGGGGUGUUUCAGGGGGUAUAGCUCAGUGGCAGAGCAUUUGACUGCAGAUCAAGAGGUCCCUGGUUCAACUCCAGGUGCCCCCUAAGGAUUGUGCUUUUUUCAGGAAAAAGGAGGCGGCGUUUGCCUCAUUUUUAGAUCCCGGGAGCUACUGUUUGGCCAAAGGGGUGGUCUCUGAACCAAACCCAAGACCCAAACCCCAAAUUAAUCUAAAAACAGCCUAAUUUGUAUGUGUCAGUGACCAAGCAAAGGCACGAUGCUGCCUUCGGGGCUGUAGGAGUUGUGGUUUUGAUCAGCCCAGAGACCUCAGUGCUUCCACACUUUGUCUCCUGUCUGGAUGCUCGGAAUACACUUUGAUGUGCAUUUUAAUACAAAGGAGUGUCAAAUAAAUAAAUAAAAAAAUCUACCCAGUGGGCAUAAAA